UACGUAGGGCGCAAGCGUUGUCCGGAAUUAUUGGGCGUAAAGAGCUCGUAGGCGGUUUGUCGCGUCUGCCGUGAAAGCCUGGGGCUUAACCCUGGGUCUGCGGUGGAUACGGGCAGGCUAGAGGCAGGUAGGGGAGAACGGAAUUCCCGGUGUAGCGGUGAAAUGCGCAGAUAUCGGGAGGAACACCGGUGGCGAAGGCGGUUCUCUGGGCCUGUACUGACGCUGAGGAGCGAAAGCGUGGGGAG
rnacentral:rRNA from 1 species